rnacentral:rRNA from 1 species
GAUGAACGCUAGCGGAAGGCUUAAUACAUGCAAGUCGAGCGGUAGGUGGCUUCGGCCAUUGAGAGCGGCGCACGGGUGAGUAACGCGUACAUGACCUGCCUGUCAGAAGGGGAUAGCCCUGGGAAACUGGGAUUAAUACCCUAUGGUAUUGAUAUUAUGAAUGAUAUCAAUUAAAGUUGAGGCGCUGACAGAUGGAUGUGCGUCUGAUUAGCUAGUUGGUAGGGUAACGGCCUACCAAGGCGACGAUCAGUAGGGGCGUGAGAGCGUGGUCCCCCAACGGGUACUGGAGACACGGACCCGACUCCUACGGGAGGCAGCAGGUAAGGAAUAUUGGUCAAUGCCCGCAAGGGUGAACCAGCCAUUCCGCGUGGAGGAUGAAGGCCCUAUGGGUUGUAAACUUCUUUUAGAUGGGAAGAAAUGCUAGAUGUAUCUGGUACUGACGGUACCAUCAGAAUAAGCACCGGCUAACUCCGUGCCAGCAGCCGCGGU